GCAGUGAAAGCCGACGACUUGAAAUUGUGAGCUCGGGGGUAAGCCUGUCGAGCCCCAGUGUACCUUGCCCAAGCACUAUGCGGACGUAUCCCGGUGUGAGCCCAGUGCGCCAAGUGCAGUUGAGCAGGUCCUGGCGCGAUCAGCCACAAGGGAGAGAAGUCCCGGAAAGAACUCCAAGAGUAGCGAGCCAGAAGGGAGAGAAGUCCCGGAGCGGCGCAACAGAACCCCGAGAGUAGCGAGCCAGAAGAAAGAGAAGUCCCGGAGCGGCGCAACAGAACCCCGAGAGUAGCGAACCGGAAGGAAGAGAAGUCCCGGAGCGGCGCAACAGAACCCCGAGAGUAGCGAGCCAGAAGGGAGAGAAGUCCAGGAGCGGCGCAACGAAACCCCGAGAGUAGCGAGCCAGAAGGGAGAGAAGUAUGCCCACGAACCCAGCACAGAAGUCAAGACGUACAGCCACCCUGUUAAGAGCAGCUCGCAGGCGGUCACGUUUAUAUAAGUUUGGUGGGACGAACACACACAAUCUACUGAACUAGCCGCACAAAUACCGUAGCGAGCUGAAAGCAAACAAAUCAACUCGUUACAUCUGGCGCCCAAAGUGAUUGUCCCAGCGGUGAAAGCAAAAUAAACAGAAUGGGAAAGAAGUGGGUUUACCGCCAUCAGAAGGAGGACUCUUCCCAGGUCGCACAAAGACUUAAUGUCGCCUGGACGGCAGAUUAGAGGACAUGAGGUGGACACUGUCGGAGUAUUACUCCGAGACAGAGAACGACCCACAACUUGCCGACAUCUGGGCUGAGUUGGAGGCCAUGUAUUACGACAGAAUCAGCACGAGUAUCACGCUAACUAACGCUGAAGGGGAUAACCUACUAACAAGCUUGAGCGUCGACAACUUGCAAAGGGAGGCUCACAGGAGAGAGUCAAGCCAGGACAGGAAGACAACGGUGCUGACCUCUAAACACAGCCAAGCGGAUUAUGCAAGGGUCGCUAAACAAGUCCGAGAGUGGUCAUUCAGAGAGAGAGAGCUUUCAUCUUUACUUUCUGCCGAGAGAUUUCUUCACAAGGCUGUCGGAUCAGGUCAGGCAACGAAAGCAGGGUUUCAGUGAGUCAUUUAAAGACUACACGAUCGACAUGCAGACGAUGUCGAGGCCUCUAAACUAUUCUGCGAGAGACACCUUAAAGAUCAUAAAGGAAAACUGCACCCCAAGCCUAAGGAACUUUUUAAGGGCGUACAAAGUGCCGGACCUGGACACGUUGAUGCUAUUAGCCGAUAAAUACGAAGAACUGGAAAAGGAGCGGAAAGAGUUCGCCCAAGAAAACAAGUUCUCAAAGGCAAAGUCGUCACCACCAACGCAGGUCACGUGCAGAAGAUGCGAGGAGACAGAUAGCCAGGAGACACGGAGAAAUGACAAAUUUUCACCGCCGCAACGAGUCUGCUGAUACUACCAGGGGUAGUGGAUUCAUUGGUGUUAGGAUGGAACUUUCUAACUCAAGUCGGAACCGAGAUAAGGUGCGCUGGACACGAGGUGAUAAUACCGGCCAGGAACCGACACAAUGGGUGGCUCGAGGAGAGCCUAUCAGUAGCAGUCGUACAACAGGAAACAGAGUACGACGACACGGCGAAGUUCCUGGAGGCAGAGCUAGCCAGUUUCAAAACCAUGACAGGAACGUCGAACAUGGCAGAGCAUCAAAUAACGAUGAAGGACGACAAACCAAUAAAACAGCCAUACUACCCCAAAACCCGAAAGUUCAAGGGGAGAUCAAUGCGAAGGUGGACGAGCUACUCCAAAUGGAAUGCAUAGAGCACUCAACCAGCCCAUACAGCUCUCCCAUCGUGAUGGUUAAGAAGAAGACGGGCAAGUGGAGACUGUGCGUCGACUUGAGGCAGAUCAACACCAAAUCGAUAAAGGAUGCCUACCCGAUGCUUCGAAUAAAUUAUAUCCUCGACCAGCUGAGAGAGGCACGGUACAUAAACAGCUUGGACCUGAAGGAUGGCUACUGGCAAAUCCCGCUGAAGGAAAGCAGCAGGCAGUAACUGCAUUUACAGUGCCCGGAAAGGGCUUAUUCCAGUGGAGAGUAAUGCCGUUUGGACUCUAUUCGGCAUCUGCGACCUUCCAGCGGAUGUUGGACCGGGUAAUUGGUACCGAGAUGUCGCCGCACUCAUUUGCGUACCAGGACGAUAUCAUAGUGAUCGGACGCACACUAGAAGAGCACAAGGCAAACUUGAAAGAGGUAUUCCGGCGGCUGAAAGACGCUAAUCUGAAAUUGAACCCGGAAAAAUGUCAGUUUUUCAAGAAGGAGCUGCUUUAUUUGGGUCAUAAAGUGACUAGCGACGUAAUAGGCACGGAUCCGGAAAUGGUAGCAGCCAUCGCCGAAUAAGAGCCGCCGUCAACAGUUAGAGAGCUCCGACAGUACCUGGGAGUAGCAUCAUGGUAUCGGCGAUUUGUACCUGACUUCGCAAAAAUAGUCAAACCUCUCAACGAUCUGCUGCGCAAGAGCAACAAGUGGGUGUGGACACUGCAACAUCAGUCGGCAUUCGAAGAGGUAAAGGCCAGGCUGGUGGCAGACCCCUACUGGCGUGCCCGGAUUUUGAAAAACCAUUUGUCCUGCAAACGGACGCAAGUGAUUACGGUAUUGGGGCCAUUUGACCCAGGAAACUGAACGUGGCGAAAAGGUGAUCUCUUACUCAAGCCGAACGCUUAACGGGGCUGAAAAAAAAACUACUCCACGACCGAGAUGGAGUGUUUGGCAAUAGUCUGGGCGAUCCGGAAACUGAAGCCAUAUUUGGAAGGGUACCACUUCAAGGUGGUAACCGACCACAUGGCUCUGAAGUGGCUCAACAGCAUCGAGAGCCCUUCAGGAAGGAUCGCCAGAUGGGCCCUGGAGUUGCAGCAGUAUGACUUCGAAAUAGCGUACAGGAAGGGACAACUCAAUGUGGUGGCAGACGCAUUAUCAAGGCAGCCACUAACAGUAACACUGCGGGGGAUCAGAGAAACUGGGACGAGAUCAUGCUGAGAUUAUGCUGGCAGUAAAUAUGAGUGUUUCGGAAUCCACAGGAUACACGCCGACGUUUAUUACUACCGAGCGCCCUAUGCGACAGAGAGACCUUGGGAACAGGACGACCCACUGAGACCCCAGGGGAGAAGGCAAACAAACUCGGAAAAAUCUUCGAGAUUGUAAGGCAGAAUCUUGAGAGAGCCUCCCAGGAUCAGGCUAGGCAUUACAACGUAAGGAGGAGACAAUGGACACCAGCGGUGGGGGACGUCGUGUGGGCCAAGUAACGUCAUUUGUCAAAGGCGGCCGAGGGGUUCGCAGCAAAGUUGGCCCCAAGAUACGACGGACCUUACCAGGUCACGGAUUUUGCGUCACCAGUAAUCUGCAAAAUACGGUACGUGAACACAAAAAAAGAGAGGACCAUCUACG